AGAGGAAGCUGAGUAUCUCCUUCCCAGCCACCAACUGUCAGAAAGUCAUUGAGCGAGACGAAUGCAAGCUUCCUAUUUUCUCUGAGAAGCUCACAGCCCCAGAAGUGGAAGGGUUGUGUGAUCUGAGUUGGUGGUGGGAGCCACAAACAAGGUCUUCCCAUGAAGCCAGGGGUCUGACCACGGGAGACGGGAAGCGCAAGGCUGUUCAGGGUGCAUUGUGGAUGUCAAUCUGAGUGUUCUCAACUUGAGUUUUGUAAAACAAAACAAGACAAAACAAAACAAAACACAACAACAAAAAGGAGAGAGGGCUAUAUUUGGUCUGAGAGAUACUACCACAUGUCAGUGAUCGAGGACCCAAAGAACUCAGAGUCUGAAAGGUUUUCAGUCUUUCUAAAGCAGCUGAUGUUUGCCCACAUGCUGUGAGAAAGCUCUCACAAAGAAGGGAAGAAACGGAGGACCAAAGCAUUCAGAGUCUUGUUAUCCAUGUGUCUUCCAACAUAAACACUGAUGAAUCGCUCUGAAGAAAUAAUUCACUACGAGAAAUGAGGAGGCUGGGGCAGGAAGUGGUGGUACAUGCUUUUGAUACCUGCACUUGGGAGGCAGAGGCAGGCAGAUCUCUGUGAGUUUGAGGCCAGCCUGAUCUACAGAGUUCCAGGACAGCCAGGGAUACAGAGAGAAACCU
rnacentral:lncRNA from 1 species